GCCCGGAUGGCUCAGCGGUUAAGCAUCUGACUUCAGCUCAGGUCAUGAUCUCCCAGUCCGUGGGUUCAAGCCCUGUGUUGGGCU
rnacentral:tRNA from 1 species